rnacentral:rRNA from 1 species
CCUACGGGAGGCAGCAGUGGGGAAUCUUGCGCAAUGGGCGAAAGCCUGACGCAGCCAUGCCGCGUGAAUGAUGAAGGUCUUAGGAUUGUAAAAUUCUUUCAGUAGGGACGAUAAUGACGGUACCUACAGAAGAAGCCCCGGCUAACUUCGUGCCAGCAGCCGCGGUAAUACGAAGGGGGCUAGCGUUGCUCGGAAUUACUGGGCGUAAAGGGAGCGUAGGCGGGUUAUCAAGUUGGAGGUGAAAGCCCAGGGCUCAACCUUGGAAUUGCCUUCAAAACUGAUAGCCUAGAGUAUGAUAGAGGUAUGUGGAACUCCGAGUGUAGAGGUGAAAUUCGUAGAUAUUCGGAAGAACACCAGUGGCGAAGGCGACAUACUGGGUCAUGACUGACGCUGAGGCUCGAAAGCGUGGGGAGCAAACAGGAUUAGAUACCCUGGUAGUCCACGCUGUAAACGAUGAUUGCUAGUUGUCGGACGGCAUGCCGUUCGGUGACGCAGCUAACGCAUUAAGCAAUCCGCCUGGGGGAGGUACGGUCGCGAAGAAUAAACUAACAAAGAAGUAAGUAGACGUGAGAGACGCGACGACGACGACGACGGAGGAGGAG